rnacentral:rRNA from 1 species
UACGGGGGGGGCAAGCGUUGUUCGGAAUUACUGGGCGUAAAGGGCUUGUAGGUGGCCAACUAAGUCAGACGUGAAAUCCCUCGGCUUAACCGGGGAGGGUCAUUCGAUACUGAUCGACUGGAAGGCAGGAGAGGGAAGCGGAAUUCCCGGUGUAGUGGUGAAAUGCGUAGAUAUCGGGAGGAACACCAGUGGCGAAGGCGGCUUCCUGGCCUGUUCUUGACGCUGAGGCGCGAAAGCUAGGGAGCAAACGGG